GCCAAAACGCGCUCGACUUAAUCCAACAAGGAAGUGGACCGUUCCGCAGGAGAAGGCUUUAAUAGAGUUCUUAAUGGAGAAUCGCGGUUUGGAAAAACCUUCAACGAAUGUCUUGUACAAGCGUUUCUAUGAGGAAAAGAAAUUUUCAAUGGAUUGGACGUAGGUGCGCUCAAAAGUUAGAAACAUGCGUGUUAACUACAAAAAAGCGAAGGCAUGGGAGGGAUACUGGGAUACUGUUAAAGCCACUUCGAUGAACUCGACGAUUUAUUUGGAAGCAGAAUCAUAAAAUGUUCUAUUAUUGAAGACACCAAGGCGAAUUCAGAUAAGGUGGUGUUAUUCAAUCAGCUGAUUAUUUUUUCUUCACUUAACUGGUGGUGUUAUUCAAUCAGCUGAUUAUUUUUUCUUCACUUAACUGGUACGCACUGAUGUCAGAGUUUGUUAUUGUUUACAUUUUUACAUUUAAAAAUUUCCGUUAAAACACAGAAAAACUUCGUUAGUAUUUUGAAUAAUUUAUGUAAAAAAUUUGAAAAUACCAAGCAUUUUGUAAACGAAUAUAACAAUAAUAUUUUUCUAUUAAAUUUUAAUAAAUUAAACAAUAUUGUUUUAUAUUUUAUAUUUACACUUUGUAGAUAACGCAAUUAACUAAAGAAUUAUGUUCCGGAACACUUUAUGUAAAAAACCCACAUGAGUUAUUUACCCGACCGGCGGCAGCUGUCUUCUACAUUAUGGUCAAAUUUUGAGAUCUAAAUGAAAAGUUAAUAAAUUGUUUUAUAUUUACACUGUGUAUAUAAUGUGAUUAACUAAUAAAAUUCUGUUACGGAACUCAUUUUAUAACAAACCCGAUAUGAGGUAUUUAUCCGACCGGCGGCAGCUGACUACAACGUUUAAAUCUUAAAAAUUACUCCGCCGGAGUAGAAUUUUCCAUUCACAACAAAGAUUCUUUCAUUCGGUUUUACAUUCGUAUGUUUAUUUUUCACAAAAAUAUUAAUUUUACAUAAUUUUGGGCAAAAACUUAAGUUUUGUAAAAUUAAUGUGGUGGUUUUAGAUUGGCAGGAUCAAGUGGGUUGGUUUUAGAUUGGCAGGAUCAAGUGAGUUGGUUUUAGAUUGGCAGGAUCAAGUGAGUUGGUUUGUCAAAAUAACAAAAGUAAAUUAAUUAAAGAGUUUGUUUUGUAACCGGCAGUGUUUGCCGUUGGCUACGCUAUUGCUUUUGCCGAUCUUACCUUAAUAAGGGCAAAAGGAGAUUUUCUGAAUAAAAUUCAAGGCAAUGUAGUUGCCGAUUUGAGUCUUAGUCUUAAUCUGUUUUAUUUGUGGCCAAGGGGCUCUUUUUAUAUAUAAUUUACAUAUCUUCUUUACUAUUCUAACUUAUUCUAAUUUACAUUCUAUCUUGCUUAAUCCUAUUCCAUACAUGCACUUAUUCUAAUUUCGACAGUUGCAACUUGAAGAGUUGACCAAUCAGGUUGUCUUCAAAUUGGGGAAUUGAGUGACUUUAAUAAUGUCACUCAAACACCAAUAUGAUCCCUUUAAGCAUUCGUCACAUUUCAUUCAAGUGCAGCUUGAUCGAUUUUGUUUAUGUUUGGAGUGUGCGGUGUAUGUGUACGUGUGUGUGUUGAUGUUUUUGUACAGUGGUGUGUAAUGCAAGAGCACACUACACCCUCGCCCUUAAGAGAAAAAUUAGGGGAUUGAUUUUUCUAAG